UUGCUGCAGUUAAAAAGCUCGUAGUUGAAAUUCUGCUCCGGCAGUUCAAUUUCCAAUAGGUUAUUGACACUCCGGGCAUCAGUCUGCAAUCUUUUUCACGGCAUUCAUUUGUCGGGCUAGGGAGCAGACGCUUUACCUUGAGAAAAUUAGAGUGUUCCAGGCAGGCUUCAGCCCGAAUACAUUAGCACGGAAUAAUAGAAUAGGACUAGAGACUAUUUAUUGGUUUAAGGCUCUAGUAAUGAUUAAUAGGAACAGUCGGGGGCAUUAGUACUUAACAGUCAGAGGUGAAAUUCUAGGAUUUGUUAAAGACUAACUAAUGCGAAAGCAUUUGCCAAGCAUGUUUUCAUUAAUCAAGAACGAAAGUUAGGGGAUCAAAGACGAUUAGAUACCGUCGUAGUCUUAACUAUAAACUAUACCGACUCGGAAUUGGACAAUUUCAAUAUAGAUUGUUCAGCGCCGUAAGAGAAAUCAAAGUCUUUGGGUUCUUGGUGGAGUACGAUCGCAAGAUUGAAACUUAAAGGAAUUGACGGUUUUGCACCACCAUGGAGUGGAGCCUGCGGCUUAAUUUGACUCAACACGGGAAAACUUAUCAGGGUAAAAAGGUAUUGGGAUUGACAGAUUGAGAGUU
rnacentral:rRNA from 1 species